rnacentral:rRNA from 1 species
UGGGGAAUAUUGCACAAUGGGGGAAACCCUGAUGCAGCGACGCCGCGUGAGCGAAGAAGUAUUUCGGUAUGUAAAGCUCUAUCAGCAGGGAAGAAAUUGACGGUACCUGACUAAGAAGCACCGGCUAAAUACGUGCCAGCAGCCGCGGUAAUACGUAUGGUGCAAGCGUUAUCCGGAUUUACUGGGUGUAAAGGGAGCGUAGACGGAGCAGCAAGUCUGGAGUGAAAACCCGGGGCUCAACCCCGGGACUGCUUUGGAAACUGUUGUUCUAGAGUGCUGGAGAGGUAAGUGGAAUUCCUAGUGUAGCGGUGAAAUGCGUAGAUAUUAGGAGGAACACCAGUGGCGAAGGCGGCUUACUGGACAGUAACUGACGUUGAGGCUCGAAAGCGUGGGGAGCAAACA